AUUGAACGCUGGCGGCAGGCCUAACACAUGCAAGUCGAACGAGUGGCGGACGGGUGAGUAAUGUCUGGGAAACUGCCUGAUGGAGGGGGAUAACUACUGGAAACGGUAGCUAAUACCGCAUACCAUCAGAUGUGCCCAGAUGGGAUUAGCUAGUAGGUGGGGUAAUGGCUCACCUGGGCGACGAUCCCUAGCUGGUCUGAGAGGAUGACCAGCCAAACUGGAACUGAGACACGGCCCAGACUCCUACGGGAGGCAGCAGUGGGGAAUAUUGCAAAAUGGGCGAAAGCCUGAUGAAGACAUGCCGCGUGUGGGAAGAAGGCCUUGGGGUUGUAAAGCACUUUCAGCGGGGAGGCGUUACCCGCAGAGGAAGCACCGGCUAACUCCGUGCCAGCAGCCGCGGUAAUAC
rnacentral:rRNA from 1 species